UCUCCGUUGGUGAACCAGCGGAGGGAUCAUUACCGAGUUUACAACGCCCAAACACAAUGUGACCUAUACCUUUCUACCUUUGCUCCGGCGGGUUCGGCCGCCGUGGGACCGACAAAUAAACUCUUGUAUUUCUCUCUUUAGCAUGUCUGAGUGGAAUCAUAAACAAAUGAAUCAAAACUUUCAACAAUGGAUCUCUUGGUUCUG
rnacentral:misc_RNA from 1 species